GGACGUGUUGAGAAUUGGAGAUCGUGAUUCAUAUUUAAAGAUGUCAUAGAGAAACCCAGAGAGAAUGUAAUUGUUUUAAACAAAUGUAUAUAGGAGUGAUUCCAGAGCAAUCGCGUAUACAUGUUAUUUAAACUGUGAGGAUGAUAAGCCUGAAAUUAAGGUGAAAUUGAAGAUUUACCCCCAUUUACCUGAUGGAGGCAAAACGCAUUCGGAAAAAAUACUAGAUCAAACUUGCUUGGAUGCAUUAUUUUUUAGUUAUACUACAACGUAGAUCUAUGAACAUACUGAUAUGCCCGGACUGGGAAUAAGACACCAGGGUUUGGGUAUCCCUCCUUUUUCUGUUGUAUCUAAUAUAUAUUUUUGUUCUAAAAAAAUCUUAUCGAAAACACAAUCCUACUUUUGAGGACAGGUUACACGUGCCUGCCCUUCUCAAAUUUCAUAUGAAUUAAAAUCCCGAACAAUUUAAAUGAAGAAUCGUGCAUAAUCAUAUAAGGACCUUACUUUAACCAAACUUCACUGAAACUAUAAAUUCAGGAUCUUUUGAAAUCAUAGAUGAAGCCAAUAAUGAUUGGCCCGACUAUUUACCUUACAGGAAAUUCAAUACCCAAGCUCCUUUAGAAUAUUAGAAUAAGAAAAAAUCUGAAUCAAAUGUAUAGUUUAUUUUUUUUCAUAAAACGAGGUUAGACAACAUAUUUUAAAACAACCCGUGCUUCAUUCAAAACCUUUAAAACACGAUGUUAUAUCUUCAUCAUUAUAUAUUUGGCCGG
rnacentral:lncRNA from 1 species